AGUUGUGUUUUUAAUCCACACCCACUAGGUAGUGCACUUGUCUGUGCCUCUCUGAUUUAGUCUGUUCAUUUUUUUAUGUUAUUCUGAAUUGUACACCAUAUGACAAGUCUGGAUACGUUUCUGUGCUCCCAUAAUGGUUGUUGUGGAUAAACUUUUUUCUUGAUCAGGUACUAGGGCUUGAUUGGUCAUUGUUGGCUCAAGUACAACUUAAGUAUACUUAAAUAUACCUCAGGUACAGAAAAUGUUCUAGCACAUACUGGGGCCAACUCAGACUAUACCAGAAUUUCAGUGCUUUCUACGGGAUUUUUGUCAGGCGCCCCGGGUAGUCAAUAUAAAUUGCCGCCUAAUGAUGAUUUUUGCUUUGGCAGACUCUUGGCGUCAAUAGUCCACUCUAUCUUUUUAAUAGCCAGAGUUUUCCUUCUUUGUCUAUAUUGAUGCGCAAGGAAUUUGGUGCGCAAAAUUCAAGCCCCGAUAUCAGACAGUUAAUAUCAACGGAUUGCAAUAAUAUUUACUUACCUGUGUAGAUAAUUCAUUUCUCAAUAAUGUUCCGUAAGAAUUAUGUAAUGACUCUUUCAAUUUUGCACGCCUGACCAAUUUAAAUCAACACACUACUCACAUUUUCAAUUCCAAUCGCUGUGCCCGCUGUAUACGGCAGGUAGAUUUUAAUCGAUAACGCAGCCUAUAACACCGUAAUGCCUUCUUCUGAUUGGUUGAUAUUUAAAUAUUUCAUAACAUGGCGAGAGGUCAGUGAUUGUAUUGCGAUUUAAGCAGAAGUUUAACUGAAACAAAUUAUGCCUUUUAACUUCAAAUCGACGCUAUUUGAGGUAAAAAUGGACUAAUUAACUAAAACUGUAUGAGUUGGUAAUGUUAUUUUGCAAUUUUAAGCAUAUUGAUAUAAUAGUAUUGUAUUUUUGUUUCGUUAUGGUUUUUGCAGACCGGAGUUUCAGCGUUCAGAUUUAUUCUGAACGCGAAUUAUUUCAGCUAGCGCCCCGGGCCUGAUUAGGUAGUCCCCUCCCUCCCGACAUUGAUUUUUUUUUAUUUAACAUGUCAAUUGACGUUCUGUGGUGCGUUAUAACUCAAAGAAAAACAGCGUCAAAAGACUUCAUUUGGUGCGCUAUGACUCUUUAAGAAAAUCUUCCAGUCAUUUUAAAAUAUAUAUUAUUUAAUUAUUUCAAAACUUUCCCGCAUAGAUAGUAAAAUCCCGACUCGAACAAUUCCCCAAUACAUCCAUUUCAACCAGACUAUUACUGUCAGGCAUUAAAGAAUCCACUCGACCACUCGCUUAGGCGAGUGAAGUUGAUGGUCGGGCGGUUAAAGUUUGUUAACUACUCGACCGACCAGGCGAGUACUGUUUUUCAAGUUGAAAAUAUAAAUUCAGUUCCAGAACUCAUGCCACAUCGAUACAAAUUGCAAACAAUUUUUCCAACGAACUAAAGAUAGAUUUAGUACACAAAGAAACCACUUUCGUUUUGACAAUGAAAAAUGACGUCAUGGGCACGGUAAAAAUAAUUCUUGAAAUCGGCUGCGCUCUUUUCGUAGGUGUCAGUGCUCUUAACUAAUCGAUUAAAAGUGAGAAAAAAACAACAGUUAAAUAUAUUGGUCAUAUCGUGAAGAAUAAAAGUUCAUUUUAAUGUAAAUAUCAAUAAAAAAAAAAAUACAUAACUGGUUUAUUAUAAUACUUCUUAUAUUUAAUUAAAAAUAAACAGAAACAAUAAUUAUUUAUACAGGUAAACAGAAUAAUUCAUGAUCACAAUCCUUAGCCACAAUUUACCAUAUUGUAACCAUUUGUCAAUCAAGCGUGUCUUUCAGUAAAAGUUCGUCUGAAAUAUUCAAACUCAGCAUGGAAAAUGGUUCUAUUUUAAAAUAUCUGCAAGGUGGUGGAGACAGGGAACAGAAAGAAAGGUCAUCAAAAGGAGAUGCCGAAAGUAUUUGGAAAAGGAAACAGGUGCAGAAAACGUAAGGAAAGCAAAUAGAAUCCAUCAGAUAAUGUAGUUAAUUUGUUUGCAGUUUAGUGUCAGUCUUUCCGAAAUCCCGUCGGUCCUCGGAUUUAUCCGAUAAUAAUUUGGAAAAUCCGGAAAUGAUUCUAAUAUUGUCGGACCUCGUGUCCGGUAAAAAAUUAUGGCAAAAUUCGGAAUUCCAUAAGCUAUUUUCAGAAAAGUUUAAAGACAAUAGUGUGAAUUUACCGAAUUAUUUAUAAAUACUCCAUUCAUGUAAACAUGUUUUCAUUGGUUGCAUUUCUUUAAUGACGUAAGUGAAUAUACGCUGUACAAGAUGUUUACCUCGUCGUCAAGGCAAAUUACACACUACGUCAUCACUAUAUGAGUACAUUCGCAAAGGGAGAUAAUACCAUGUACGUUUGGUUCCCGUUAUAUCCGAUUAAUUCGUUAGCAAGCCGGUCAAUUCCACAGGUCAGUGUGACCUUUCCGCGAUCUGUCAGUGGUUAAAGCUACGCAAGAGUUUGAAGCGAUCUGUCAACAUCUACACAUUACUUGGAAGGAAAACAGAGUAUCCAGAUCUAUAACAGGUGAUUUCGUUUUCAUUUUAUUGUUAAUUAUCUCAGAAUGUUUCAAUUAAAAUUUGUUGAAGGAGCCAAACCAGGCCAGCCUAUAAAAAGGAAAAAAACUGAGGAUGAAAAAAAUGAGGAAAACAAAAAGCGUUGGUCAAAAUAUGAGGAAAAAAGGAAUGACAGGCCUUUUAAAGAGUCAUGGAAAGAAGGGAGAUCUUGGCUAAAUUUUGAUGAAAGUAAAGGGGCCAUGACUUGCUUAACAUGCAUUGAGUUUUAUGGAACAAAAAGCAUAGGUUCUGGGCUGAAAGGAUGCAACACCUUCCUCACUGGUAGCACCAAUUUGAAAAAAUCAGCUGUCAGUGACCAUGAGCUGAGCAAAGCCCACAUUGACGCUACGGCAAAAAUGGCUGCUAAAUGUAGUGAUAGUACAGCUAUUGCCAGUUCACAAGCUGGUAAAGCCAUGCUAUCGCUACAUUUAUCAGAGCGCCAGCGGUUGAUGCAUUUGUUUAGAAAUGCCCAUGCUGUGGGAAAACAAGGCCGCCCCAUAACAGAUUACACAUGGCUUUGCAAUGUCACUGAAGCCAAUGGUGUUGACCUUGGCAAAACCUAUCGCAAUGGAAAAGCUGCUCUUGCGUUUCUUUCUUACAUUGCAGGUGCCGAAAAAGAAAAGACGGUAACUAUGAUGGAAGCAGCCAAGGGUUUUUCGUUGCUCAUCGACGGAACAACAGACCUUUCUGGUGACGAACAGGAGUGUGUAUUUGUAAGGGCUGCAAUUAAUGGACAUGUGCAAGAAAGAUUUUUGACCAUUGGCUCCCCAAGUAGCACCACAGCGGGUGAUCUGAAGGCCUUUGUCGAUGAUUUACUGGUGGAAAACGGCCUUGAGAAAGAAAAGCUGAUCGGAUUAGGUUCUGAUGGGGCAGCAAACAUGGUUGGGGUACGCAAUGGUUUAGCUGCAAAGCUCAAACAGGAUAUCGGCGUACAUUUCGUAAAUAUUCAUUGCUUCAAUCAUCGUCUAGAACUGGCCUGGCAUGACACCAUAAAACAAAACAAAACUCAUGAUAAGCUGAUUACUUUGCUGACUGGACCUUAUUAUAUGUAUCACAAACAGUACAAAAACAAAAAAGGAUUAAUGAACGCUUUCACUGCUGUACAAGUUAAACCAUUGAUGCCUCCCAAAGCCACUGGUACCCGAUGGCUGCCACAUCUUGGCAAGGGUGUUGAUAGUUUGGUACACAACUUCAAAGCAUACCAUGCCCACCUAUCAACUGUGAGUCACACCAACCCGAAGGCAGAAGGCCUGGCACGAUUGCUUUUAGACAGAAGCGUGGUCCCUUAUGUCCUUUUUCUAAAGGAACUUUUGGAGCCACUGAGCAUCCUCUCAUCCAAGCUGCAGCAAAGAGCAAUAACCCUUGCAGAUGCCCAGAUCUAUGUGGAAACAGCUGCCGAGAUGGUGGAUGAGCUGAGAUCCAGAGUUUGGAAAUGAAGAAGUGGAGCAUGCUGCCACCUUCUACCAUGACGUUCUCCAGAAACAUGAUGUGUGCCCUGAGAAAUGCGUCUCAGAAUGGAAAUGCUUUAAAAGGGUCAUGUGGAAGAGAUACACAACUACAUUGGGGAGUAUGUCGUUGGCAGAUCUGUACACAGAAGAGUUUGACAACUUGUACUCAUUGCUGGACCUGCUGCUGAGUCUACCGCCAACUAGCGUCCCAUGUGAAUCUACAUUCUCCCAUCUGAAGCUGUUGAAGACCCAUAGGCGUCUCAGAUUGCGUCAGGACACAUUGAAUUCUCUCAUGAUGAUCAAACUGAGCACUCCUGAUGUUACUGAUUAUGACCCUUCAGCAGCUGUAGACAAGUGGCUGGGAGAUGGACUUCGUCAACUAGAUUAUCAGCGCCCAGCCAAGGCUAUGUCUUAUGGUGAUGCAAGCGAUGAAGAAGAUGACUCAGAGAUGUCUGCAGAAGAGGAUUCAGACAUUCAGGAUAAAGAAACAAACGAUAAACAAAUAUUGGCAUUUCUGAAUGAAUAAAUGCAUGCAUCACUUGUAUAUGAUAUGAAAAAUAUAAAUAUUGUUUA